AUUGAACGCUGGCGGCAGGCCUAACACAUGCAAGUCGAACGAGUGGCGGACGGGUGAGUAAUGUCUGGGAAACUGCCUGAGGGAGGGGGAUAACUACUGGAAACGGUAGCUAAUACCGCAUACCAUCAGAUGUGCCCAGAUGGGGUUAGUUAGUUGGUGGGGUAACGGCUCACCAAGGCGACGAUCCCUAGCUGGUCUGAGAGGAUGACCAGCGGCACUGGAACUGGACCACGGUCAAGACGCCUACGAGAGGCAGCAGAGGGGAAUAUUGCGCAAUGGGCGCAAGCAUUACGCAGUGAGGCCGCGUGUAUGAAGAAGGCCUUCGGGUUGUAAAGUACUUUCAGCGGGGAUGCGUUACCCGCAGAAGAAGCACCGGCUAACUCCGUGCCAGCAGCCGCGGUAAUAC
rnacentral:rRNA from 1 species